GUGGGUGUGUUAGAGUGGUUAUUGGGCAUGACUAGAAAUUAUGUGUGUUUUGCUUGCGCGGGUUCAAAUCCUGCCGCUCACG
rnacentral:tRNA from 1 species